rnacentral:tRNA from 2 species
GGGCCCGUAGCUCAGCUAGGUAGAGCAUCUGGCUUUUAACCAGGUGGUCCGGGGUUCGAAUCCCCGCGGGCCCG